rnacentral:rRNA from 1 species
UAGUAUUAAAGGUCACACCUGCCCAGUGAAAACUUUUAACGGCCGCGGUACCCUAACCGUGCAAAGGUAGCGCAAUCACUUGCCCUUUAACUGGGGGCUAGUAUGAACGGUCCAAUGAGGGCCCAACUGUCUUCUGAGGCCAAUCAAUGAAAUUGAUCACUCAGUACAAAUGCUGAACUAACCACACAAGACGAGAAGACCCUGUGGAACUUUAAAUUAAGUGUGUUUUUAACACUAGAAACCUAUAAACUACCUAACAUAAAAAUUUUAAGUUGGGGCAACUAUGGAGCACACCAGAACCUCCACGAAACAUGACUAACAAACACCCUAAGGCCAACAAGCCGUACAACCACACAAAGACCCAGUAAAACUGACUCCCGAACCAAGCUACCCCAGGGAUAACAGCGCCAUCCCCUUCAAGAGUCCAUAUCGCCGGGGGGGUUUACGACCUCGAUGUUGGAUCAGGACCCCCAGGCGGUGCAGCCGCUGCCAAAGGCCCGUUUGUUCAACSGAUAAAGUCCU